rnacentral:rRNA from 1 species
UACGAAGGGGGCUAGCGUUGCUCGGAAUCACUGGGCGUAAAGCGCACGUAGGCGGAUUUCUAAGUCGGGGGUGAAAUCCUGGAGCUCAACUCCAGAACUGCCUUCGAUACUGGAAGUCUUGAGUCCGGGAGAGGUGAGUGGAACUGCGAGUGUAGAGGUGAAAUUCGUAGAUAUUCGCAAGAACACCAGUGGCGAAGGCGGCUCACUGGCCCGGUACUGACGCUGAGGUGCGAAAGCGUGGGGAGCAACAGGAUUAAGAAACCCUGG